GAUCCUGGCUCAGAAUCAACGCUGGCGGCGCGCUUAACACAUGCAAGUCGAGCGAGAAAGGGGAGCAAUCCCUGAGUAAAGCGGCGUACGGGUGAGUAACACGUGGAUAAUCUACCUUUUAGUGGGGAAUAACCCUGGGAAACCGGGGCUAAUACCGCAUAAUCCUGUGAAGGGAAAGCAGCAAUACGCUGAAAGAGGAGUCCGCGGCCGAUUAGCUAGUUGGUGAGGUAAUGGCUCACCAAGGCGGUGAUCGGUAGCCGGCCUGAGAGGGCACACGGCCACACUGGCACUGAAACACGGGCCAGACUCCUACGGGAGGCAGCAGUGGGGAAUCUUGCACAAUGGGGGAAACCCUGAUGCAGCGACGCCGCGUGAGCGAUGAAGCCCUUCGGGGUGUAAAGCUCUUUCGGCAGGGACGAUAAUGACGGUACCUGAAGAAGAAGCUGCGGCUAACUACGUGCCAGCAGCCGCGGUAAUACGUAGGCAGCGAGCGUUGUUCGGAAUUACUGGGCGUAAAGAGUGUGUAGGCGGUGCUCUAAGUUCGGUGUGAAAUCUCCUGGCUUAACUGGGAGGGUGCGCCGGAAACUGGAGUGCUUGAGCGUGGGAGAGGAAAGCGGAAUUCCUGGUGUAGCGGUGAAAUGCGUAGAUAUCAGGAGGAACACCUGUGGUGUAGACGGCUUUCUGGACCAU
rnacentral:rRNA from 1 species